rnacentral:rRNA from 1 species
UGGGGAAUAUUGCACAAUGGGCGAAAGCCUGAUGCAGCAACGCCGCGUGAGUGAUGAAGGUCUUCGGAUUGUAAAGCUCUGUCUUUUGGGACGAUAAUGACGGUACCAAAGGAGGAAGCCACGGCUAACUACGUGCCAGCAGCCGCGGUAAUACGUAGGUGGCGAGCGUUGUCCGGAUUUACUGGGCGUAAAGGGUGCGUAGGCGGAUGUUUAAGUGAGAUGUGAAAUACCCGGGCUUAACUUGGGUGCUGCAUUUCAAACUGGAUAUCUAGAGUGCAGGAGAGGAGAAUGGAAUUCCUAGUGUAGCGGUGAAAUGCGUAGAGAUUAGGAAGAACACCAGUGGCGAAGGCGAUUCUCUGGACUGUAACUGACGCUGAGGCACGAAAGCGUGGGUAGCAAACAGGAUUAGAUACCCUGGUAGUCCACGCCGUAAACGAUGAGUACUAGGUGUAGGAGGUAUCGACCCCUUCUGUGCCGUAGUAAACACAUUAAGUACUCCGCCUGGGAAGUACGAUCGCAAGAUUAAAACUCUAAAGUGAAUUGACGGGGUC